AAAAACUCCACAACUUUGGCUUUGUUGUGGCUAUAAAUAAAGAAGCUGGUCAGAAUCAUUCCUCCAAGAGGGUCCCCCAGAAAAUGGGGAGGAAGUUCACUCAGUGAAAUGAAAGGGAUGGUUCUAGCUGCUCACUGCACUGCACUGGACCCCUACAGACUCUGUCAAACUGCACUUCUCAGCUGCAGGUUACUAUCUGCUGUAACAAGAGAAAAU
rnacentral:lncRNA from 12 species